UUAGCCCUUUGUAGUUUUCUAAGUUUCAAAGCCCUUAACCCAUUUUCCCUCAACUGAUUUUAGGUGUGCUUUGGCAAUUUUUGGGACUGUGGUCUUCGGCUAUUGUAGAAGAUCAGUUCGACAGCUGCCUUUGAGGCUAAAAUCUCAAUUUUUUUGGGACUUCUAGUUGCAUCAUCUGUCUAAUUUAAGAUCUAAUUUCGUUCAGUUUUAAGAAGUAGGUUCUUAACAGGUCCUUUGGCGGUUGUUAGCGGCGGCAGUUGGCGACUAACCAUUAAAAAAAGGUUUCAUUUAUUAAAAACCCUUACAUUUCUGCUGCAAAGAGGAGCCGCACAACCAGCCGCACAAUGGACCAGCCGCACAAAGGUUCUCUUGGCACCUGCUCCAUCUCCGGCGACGUGAACUAUUUUCGGUACCGACUGCGUUAUUUCCGACGGCGCCAAGCCUAGAGGACAACGGCAGCAUUUGUAUCCUCCAUUUUCAGCGGCACCAAGUGGGAGAGAUUCAGACACCAAUAGGUGUUGCAAUGGUUGAGUUCAUAGACCCAAGAGAGCCUGUAGCGGUUAUUCCAAUAUUAGGAGCUGGUCUAGCUCUAGCAGAGCAUGCAUCAUCAAUUUUGCCAGCAACAAAAACAUAUCAUCUAGGGAUGGUCAGAAACGAGGAGACACUUCAACCAUCAAUAUAUCUUAACAAGUGGCACAAUAGUGGCAGCUCUCAAACCUGAUAAAGAAAUGUGGGGUUGAGAACAUUCAAAUUAAAGUGGUAAUAUAUCUACAACUUAUUCUUCACUAUUUCUGUCAAUUUUAUUUCAUAGUUAAUGGAGUUGGAAAUGAGUUUGUAUAUGAACUCUCUGAAAAUAUCUUAAUCUUGAACUUUCGUUGCUUUACAUAUAAAGUAGUGGUGAAAUUGAUGAAGGGAGGAACAAAUUAAAUAAAUUAAUUAAUAAAGUGGGAACAAGAACACUAAUAACGUUGAAAAUCUCAACCAACCUUUGGAGGUACAGACUGCAAAGACAUUUAUAUACACCAACUGUUUUGUUUUUUUAUCAAUAAUUCCUUCUUAAUAUUCUUUUUGGACCCUGCUGUUUAUAUGUAUUUAGACAUGCAUAGUUUUAUGGCUUUAUGUUAGUGCUUAAAAUUCAGCAGCUGCAUUUUGACUUAGAGUAAAACACUUUUAUAUGGACGUGAAUGUGCAUUAACUAUAUGUGUUUUUAGAGUCUAGUAUGAUCCAUAUACAAUGCGCAUUAACUAAAUUCAAGGUUAGUAUACCUUUCUCAUGCAAAAUAACAUUCAUUUAUAUGCACAUUACUUUUGAUUUUGUCAUUUAUGGAUGUAUAUUUUGGUAAAUAACUGUGUUUCAAUUUGGAUUUUGAGUUGCACUUACACUUAGUGUAUUGCCUUGAUACUUUGUAUUUUCUUUGUCUUGUUCUAGUUUGAAAAUUUUAAUUUAUUGAUUUUGUUUUGAUAUAAAGUAUUAGAGAGAUAAAAUUAGUUCAUUGAAACUAUCGA